UGGGGAAUAUUGCACAAUGGGCGCAAGCCUGAUGCAGCCAUGCCGCGUGUGUGAAGAAGGCCUUCGGGUUGUAAAGCACUUUCAGCGGGGAGGAAGGCGUUAAGGUUAAUAACCUUGGCGAUUGACGUUACCCGCAGAAGAAGCACCGGCUAACUCCGUGCCAGCAGCCGCGGUAAUACGGAGGGUGCAAGCGUUAAUCGGAAUUACUGGGCGUAAAGCGCACGCAGGCGGUCUGUCAAGUCGGAUGUGAAAUCCCCGGGCUCAACCUGGGACCUGCAUUCGAAACUGGCAGGCUAGAGUCUUGUAGAGGGGGGUAGAAUUCCAGGUGUAGCGGUGAAAUGCGUAGAGAUCUGGAGGAAUACCGGUGGCGAAGGCGGCCCCCUGGACAAAGACUGACGCUCAGGUGCGAAAGCGUGGGGAGCAAACAGG
rnacentral:rRNA from 1 species